rnacentral:tRNA from 1 species
CGAAAUCGGUAGACGCUACGGACUUAAAAUCCGUCGACUUUAGAAAUCGUGAGGGUUCAAGUCCCUCUAGCCCCA